AUUGUUCUAAUCCCAAAAAUUAAAACCCCUGAGUCUAUGUCUGAUUUUCGCCCUAUUUCCUUAUGUAAUGUUAUUUACCACAUUCUUGCCAAAGUUUUAGCUAAUCGUUUGAGGGGGGUUUUAGAUUUG